rfam:Stegodyphus mimosarum contig57604, whole genome shotgun sequence.
GGCUUCGUGGUGUAGUGGUCAGCACCCUCAGUGCAUAUUCGAGAGGUCCGUGGUUCGAAUCCUGGCGAAGGCA